rnacentral:rRNA from 1 species
AGGGUUUGAUCCUGGCUCAGAACGAACGUUGGCAGUGUGGAUUAGGCAUGCAAGUCGUGCGCGAAAGCCUUCGGGCGAGUAAAGCGGCGAACGGGUGAGUAACACGUAACCAACCUACCCUUGAGAUCGGAAUAGCCACUGGAAACGGUGGGUAAUGCCGAAUGGUUCCCUACUGCGGCAUCGCGGAUGGGAUAAACGGCGGCUUCGGCUGCUGCUCGGGGAGGGGGUUGCGGCCUAUCAGCUUGUUGGAGAGGUAAUGGCUCACCAAGGCUGUGACGGGUAGCCGGUCUGAGAGGACGACCGGUCACACUGGGACUGAGACACUGCCCGGACUCCUACGGGAGGCUGCAGUCGAGAAUCUUCCGCAAUGGGCGAAAGCCUGACGGAGCGACACCGCGUGCAGGAUGAAGGCCCUCGGGUUGUAAACUGCUGUCACGCCGUAUGAAUGCCCUGUCGUUAAUAGCUUCAGGGUUGACGUCAAGGCGAGAGGAAGCACCGGCUAACUCCGUGCCAGCAGCCGCGGUAAUACGGAGGGUGCAAACGUUGUUCGGAAUCACUGGGCAUAAAGCGCACGUAGGCGGUUUCGUUAGUCUGAUGUGAAAGCCCUCGGCUCAACCGAGGAACUGCAUUGGAUACUGCGAGACUAGAGGAUGGUUGGGGUGAGUGGAACUCCUGGUGGAGCGGUGAAAUGCGUAGAUAUCAGGAGGAACACCAGUGGCGAAAGCGGCUCACUGGACCAUUUCUGACGCUGAGGUGCGAAAGCUAGGGGAGCGAACGGGAUUAGAUACCCCGGUAGUCCUAGCCGUAAACGAUGGGAACUAGGUUGAGGGGGCACCUAUGGCCUUCUCAGCCGCAGCAAAUGUGAUAAGUUCCCCGCCUGGGGAGUACGCUCGCAAGGGUAAAACUCAAAGGAAUUGACGGGGGCUCACACAAGCGGUGGAGCAUGUGGUUUAAUUCGAAGCAACGCGAAGAACCUUACCUGGCCUUGACAUCUAUGGAUUAGCCCUGUGAAAGCAGGGUGACGCUCCUUCGGGAGUGGAACAUAGACAGGUGUUGCAUGGCUGUCGUCAGCUCGUGUCGUGAGAUGUUGGGUUAAGUCCCGUAACGAGCGCAACCCUUGUCGUUAGUUGCCAGCGCGUAAUGGCGGGGACUCUAGCGAGACUGCCGGUGUCAAACCGGAGGAAGGUGGGGACGACGUCAAGUCAUCAUGGCCCUUAUGGCCAGGGCGACACACGUGCUACAAUGGUCUGUACAGAGGGUCCCGAGACCAAGGUGGAGGCAAUCCCACAAAGCAGGCCCCAGUUCGGAUUGCAGGCUGCAAUUCGCCUGCAUGAAGCC